rnacentral:lncRNA from 10 species
CUGGGAUCCAGUGAGUGGAACAGACAGGUUCUUUAGCUGAGGAACAAAGCCCAGGCCUGUUCUUCAUCACUUAGCACCAGCUGGGAUCCCUUGUUGCCAGGCUGGCAGCUGUGAGGGAUCACUUGGCCACCAGGAAGACUUCCCAGCUGGGACUGUUCUGAAGAUUUGUGCCAGAGAAACUACAUCUGUGAGUCACUGCUCAGGGGAAAACCCAGCUGCUCGGCUCAGCUCCAGCCCCAGUGGCCCCGGGGAAGGACCAGAAGGCAGAGCGAGAAUAAAAGAUAGGCUGCUUUGCUUUUCUCAGUUUCCAUAGCAGGUUACCGUAUUUGCAGUUCUUCAUUUCAUGAGGGAAGUUGAGAGUGGGACUGGAAUCAAAAGAGGUACUCAGAUGGUGAAGCCCAUAGCUGUUGGGUGUGGAGGUUUUGGCUAAGCCACCAGGGAUACUUCUCUGACCCUCUGGAUCCUUACUUUGACUCAUCGCCCUUUUUUUUUUUUUUUUUCUGAUCCACAGGUGGCUACAGCCAGGUUCAUAGUCUGGCACAUGGCAUUUUCUGGACAGUGAGAAUCAGGAAAUGGGGGUGAAUCUUAGAGUGGGUCUGAUGAAUCGUGGGAAAAUCUCUCAACAUUGAGACAGAGAUACUGGAAGGAGCUUGAGAUUUGUUUUAUAAGAAGAGGGAUUCUUGGUGUCAUGGCUGUCUUCUCAGAAGGGAAGAUCGGUCAGGUGUGGGCCUGAAAACCAUGGGUGUUAAAGGGCUGACCCUGGAACAGUCCCUGCAAGGAUAGGGGUGGACCAUCAGGACAAUGAUGGGAAAGUGCUGGUGUUUGGGAUGUCACUUCCCACAAAUUGACAAUCACUGCAGAGGCCAAGAAGCCUCCCACUGGGUUUGGGGGGUCAGUAUCUCUUCAAUUAAACUAAGGCAAAUUCUUAGCUGCCAAGGAGGC